GCACUUUCCUGGCCGGGGACAUACCAUGACCACGAAGGUGGUUUUCCCAGGGCGAGGCUUAUCCAUUGCACUCCGAUGUGCUGACCCCUGCGAUUUCCCCAAAUGUGGGAAUCUCGACUGCAUAAUUUGUGGUAGUGGGGGACUGCGUUCGCACUUUGCCCUG
rnacentral:snRNA from 1 species